UACGUAGGGUGCAAGCGUUAAUCGGAAUUACUGGGCGUAAAGCGUGCGCAGGCGGUCUUGCAAGACAGAUGUGAAAUCCCCGGGCUUAACCUGGGAACUGCAUUUGUGACUGCAAGGCUGGAGUGCGGUAGAGGGGGAUGGAAUUCCGCGUGUAGCAGUGAAAUGCGUAGAUAUGCGGAGGAACACCGAUGGCGAAGGCAAUCCCCUGGGCCUGCACUGACGCUCAUGCACGAAAGCGUGGGGAGCAAACAGG
rnacentral:rRNA from 1 species